rnacentral:rRNA from 1 species
GGGUCCUGAGUGCUUAUUGCACCACAUGUGUUUUUCUUUGAAACAAACUUGCUUUGGCGGUGGGCCCAGCCUGCCGCCAGAGGUCUAAACUUGCAACCAAUUUUUUAUCAACUUGUCACACCAGAUUAUUACUAAUAGUCAAAACUUUCAACAACGGAUCUCUUGGUUCUCGCAUCGAUGAAGAACGCAGCGAAAUGCGAUACGUAAUAUGAAUUGCAGAUAUUCGUGAAUCAUCGAAUUUUUGAACGCACAUUGCGCCCUCUGGUAUUCCGGAGGGCAUGCCUGUUUGAGCGUCGUUUCUCCCUCAAACCGCUGGGUUUGGUGUUGAGCAAUACGACUUGGGUUUGCUUGAAAGACGGUAGUGGUAAGGCGGGAUCGCUUUGACAAUGGCUUAGGUCUAACCAAAAACAUUGCUUGCGGCGGUAACGUCUACCACGUAUAUCUUCAAACUUUGACCUCAAAUCAGGUAGGACUACCCGCUGAACUUAAGCAUAUCAAAAGCGGAGGAA